rnacentral:tRNA from 1 species
GUGUUGAGGCGUUAGGCUGUAGUCCUUUUUACAGAGGUUUAAUUCCUCUUCUUAUCG